GCAGCAGAACGGAGCAAGAGCCGCAGGCAGGGCUGACACCGGGGCUGUGCCGCCUGUCCCCGUCCGGGUCUCGGUGCGGAAGGGAGAGCCUUGCCCCGGUGCCUGCAGGCGGAUUGUGCCGGCCGGGCGGGAGCGGGGCUCUCCGAGCCAGGGGCGGAUCGGCGCUCCGUUUGCUCGCCAAGAGAAAGUUUAAAAAAAUCAAAACAACUUAGAGAGAGGAAGGCUGCCGCAUUUUCACAAACCGAGCCCAGAGCUUCCAGGUUCUGCUGCCUGCAGAGGUAUGUCGGUCUCAACAUCACAGCCGCCCUUCUGGAAAAGUCUUACAGGAUUCAGGCAGAGGGAAACCAACACAGAAGUGACUCGGAAAGCAUGAUGGCAAAUGAUUAAUCAAAUCAGAGACAGGAAGGCGGAGUGACCAUUUUCGAUGACAUGAGGCAGCACGGGGUGAAUGCGAGCAGGGGCUGGCCCUCGAGGGACAUGUCACUGACAACUGAUGGGCAUCUGGCGUUUGGCUGGGGCAGGGGAAGGAAAACCGCGGGGCUUCAGUAAAUGGGCUCUGGAAGAGGAGAAGGUGUGGCUUUUAACAAGAUGUUCAGAAAAAAAAUUAUAUCAGGCACAUGUUGACCUGCGCUUCCUCUGCUCCUGGCUUUGGAGGCAAUAUCGCUUGGUGCUUAUCAGCUACAACGUCUGAGGCAUCGGCCCACAUCCAGCCCCCAUCCAGCCCCGCCGAGGAGCUGCUGGCAGCCGCAGCGGAGAGUCAGGAGCGGCCCCGGUAACGGCUCGCAGAGCCCAAACAACGAAAUGCCGAGAAAUGUUCACCACCGCUGGCUGCCGGGCUACUGAAACUCCCCCCCGGGCCGGGAGGGGUUUCGGGGGAUGCAGGAUGCAGCAGCCUGAGGUUUGGGCAGCCUCAGUCGGGCAGCCUUGUGCCUUCUCCCCGAGGUUUUGGAGCCGCGGAGCUGCUGUCUGCCCCUCCUGCCUUCAGAGCAGCCCCAGAGGGGCAGCAGGGACCGGAACGGCCCCGGGAUCCCCGCUCCUACCAGCGGGACAGGGGCUCCGAGGCGCUUCUGUCCAUGUCCCCGUUGGGUCCUGCCAUGCAUCUGAUGUUCCCCGCCGGGCAGCCAGGGCAGAGACAAGGGCAGGGACAGGGACAUGGGAAGGGGCGGCCUCUCUGUCCCAGCCUUACAAGUCGCUUUUCUGCUUCCUAUGAAGGCUCCGAGAUACAGGGACGUUUUCAGAAAAAAAAAAAACAAAACCAAAACCAAAAGUCCCCCAAACCCCACAAACAAAACCAAACACAAACAAACAAAAAAAAAACAAACAAAAACAAAACAAAAGAAAAAAAACAACGAGGAGAUGUUAAAAGUUAGCUAUAUGGCUUUUUAAAAUACCCAUCAGUGAUGAUAUCUCCUGUAGGGCAGCCUCCUGCCCGGCCUAUUGUAGUUCCAGUCUCGGGGAACAGUCCUCUUAACUUACUCUUUUCCCCAAAUCAACGAGUUUGCUCUGGAAGUCUCUUGGCUCGCCCCUUUUGAUAAACCACAGUUCAGUUCAGCCCGGAGCAGCCAGUGGUGUCUGGGACAGUCACCAGUUGCCUUGGAACAGAAAUGGGAACCACUUGUUUAAACAUCUUAAUGUCCUAAAAUCUCUAAGAGCCAUCGCAGAAGGGUUUGGGUUUUUUGUUCCCUUCCCGAAGCGAGAAGGGAGCGAGGGGAUUACAGGGAAGAAUGUCUGCUCCGGCUGCUGUAAGCACCAGAAGAUUUUGGUUUGCCUUCCCCCCCCCAUCAGUUUUUCCAUUCCUUGAGGAAAAUUUUUCAGUAUCUGAAUCAAAGCGCAUGAUUCCAACUUUUUUUUUUUCCCUGUUGUUUUGUUUUAUCUCGGCCCUUUUUCAUGUUUUCAUUUAAAAAGUGACAGAUUUGGUAGAACUCUCAAGUGUUUCCCAUUAGAGGCGGGGAGUUCACCAGUGCGCCUUUCUGAUGUUGCACAUGACACGUUUGGGGCUCUGAGGCAGGAGCACGCCCUGAGCA